UACGGGGGGAGCAAGCGUUGUUCGGAUUUACUGGGCGUAAAGGGCGCGUAGGCGGCAAUUCAAGUCAUCUGUGAAAUCUCCGGGCUUAACUCGGAACGGUCAGAUGAUACUGCUUUGCUAGAGUACAGAAGGGGCAAUCGGAAUUCUUGGUGUAGCGGUGAAAUGCGUAGAUAUCAAGAGGAACACCUGAGGUGAAGACGGGUUGCUGGGCUGAUACUGACGCUGAGGCGCGAAAGCUAGGGUAGCAAACGGG
rnacentral:rRNA from 1 species